AAGGGAUAUAGAGAAGCACUGGCAUGAUUUCGACAUAAAAUAUAUUGUCGGGAUAGUUUGUGGGCUCGCCUAUGGAGAAGGUGUGUUAGGAAAAGGAACAGAAGAGACCGGCACCUCAGGAAGCACAUUCACUAACAGGCCCAGUGACAUCUCAGUGACAUCUUCUGCAUGCCCUCCACCAAUCAGCUUCCUCUUAAUGUUGCAGAAGACUAUUCCAUGAC
rnacentral:lncRNA from 1 species